rnacentral:rRNA from 1 species
GCCUAGCCCUAAACACAAGUAGCAACCUCACACCUGCUACUCGCCCGGGAACUACGAGCAUAAGCUUAAAACCCAAAGGACUUGGCGGUGCUUUAGACCCACCUAGAGGAGCCUGUUCUAGAACCGAUAACCCCCGUUCAACCUCACCCUUCCUUGUCUUACCCGCCUAUAUACCGCCGUCGUCAGCUUACCCUGUAAAGGACAUAUAGUAAGCAAAAUUGGCAUAGCCCAAAACGUCAGGUCGAGGUGUAGCGUAUGGAAGGGGAAGAAAUGGGCUACAUUCACUGGCACAGUACAUACGAACGAUGCAUUGAAACCAGACAUCCGAAGGAGGAUUUAGCAGUAAGAAGGAAAGCAGAGCGUUCCCCUGAAACUGGCCCUGAAGCGCGC